rnacentral:rRNA from 1 species
UCCGUAGGCGGGCGACCAAGUCAGAGGUGAAAUCCCACAGCUUAACUGUGGAACUGCCUUUGAUACUGGUUGUCUUGAGUUAUAGUGAAGUAGAUAGAAUAUGUAGUGUAGCGGUGAAAUGCUUAGAUAUUACAUAGAAUACCGAUUGCGAAGGCAGUCUACUAACUAUAUACUGACGCUAAUGGACGAAAGCGUGGGGAGCGAACAGGAUUAGAUACCCUGGUAGUCC